ensembl:lncRNA
AUUAUAUUCAGAAUACAACAUAGAUGACAUAUCAAAUGUUUAAACUGAGAAAAUGUAUCAUUUUAAGGGAAAAAUAAGUUGAUUUUAAAUUUCAUGGCAUCAACACAUCUCAAAAAAGUUGGGACAAGGCCAUGUUUACCACUGUGUGGCAUUCCCUCUUCUUUUUAUAACAGUCUGCAAACGUCUGGGAACUGAAGAGACAAGUUGCUCAAGUUUAUGUUAUGGCUUCUUUUUUCACCUAUAGAGUUUUAGCCGGCAACGGCAAAUGGCACUGUGGAUUGUGUUCACCGACAGUGUUUUCUGGAAGUAUUCCUGAGCCCAUGUUGUGAUUUCUAUUACAGUAGUAUUCCUUGGUGAUCCUCUGCCCAUCUUGACUUCUGAGAGACACUGCCACUCUGAGAGGCUCUUUUUUAUUGACCUAAUAAGUUGCAAAUUGGUACUCCAGCUGUUCCUUAUAUGUACAUUUAACUUUUCCGGCCUCUUAUUGGUAUCUGUCCUAACUUUUUUUUGGAAUGUGUAGCUCUCAUGAAAUCCAAAAUGAGCCAAUAUUUGGCAUGACAUUUCAAUAUGUCUCACUUUCAACAAUUGAUAUGUUAUCUAUAUUCUAUUGUGAAUAAAAUAUAAGUUUAUGAGAUUUGUAAAUUAUUCCAUUCCUUUUUUACUCACAAUUUGUACAGUGUCCCAACUUUUUUGGAAUCGGGUUUGUACAAAAGGAUGAGGAGGUCAAAGCUAACAAGAGAGCUACCCUGAGAUUCAUCAUCUUUUCUGGUACCAACUCUAAGUGACAGAUCAAUGCUAGAUCUCAGGAGGGUACUCACAACUGGCAGAUAGCCCUCUCCAUCUGGUACCGCAUAAGAAUCUUGACACUAGCUGGUUUCUAGUGGUUUUCCUGGGCCUCAGCCCCUGCCUUAACAGGAUGUCUGCUGCCAAGCAUGCCCUAGAAAGUCAAGUCAAGUCAAGUCAAGUCUGCUUUAUUGUCAAUUCUUCCACAUGUACAGUACAUACAUACAGAGAAUUGAAAUUGUGUUACUCUCAGACCCCCGGUGCAUACAGAUAACACUAACAGUAGAACAAUAAAUACAGAUAAUAAAAUAUAAAGUACAACUAUACAAAUAUGCAAAUAGGUAAUGUGAAAAGAAAGAUAAGUAAAGCAGUUCAUUGCAGGUAAGUAAUUAAGUGAUUAAGUGCUGAUUGAGCAUUAGUGAUGAACAGCUGUUAACAAACAGAAUCACUGAAGGAAAGAGGGACAAGAACUACAACUGACUUCAGCCACAGCCUUAGAUAAAAUAAACUGAAAUAAAAUACAUUAAAUCUCUCAAGAUCUGAUUAAACAACCCCACAAACAGCAUCACCAGCUCCACUUAUUAAUAACCAGACUGACUUUAUUUCUGUCAGACGUCUACAGAAGAUCUGAUUGAGAAUUAACUAAGGUUUAGAUGUUGAUUUAUUAUUUCAUUUGAAGUAACCAUGUUAGAGAUCAGUGUUUGCUUUAGUUGGGCUCUUGACCCUUGACUUCUGUCUUAGUUUUUUUUUUUCUCUGGGUGUUGUAACCAUGUGCUCCUGAAACAUAUUUGUUAUAACUCAAAAGCCCAGAGAAAAUGUGAUCAGUAGUAGUUUGUAGUAUAUUUAUGAAGAAAAUCAUCAGUUAGUGGACUGAUUUCAUUCGGAGUCUAAUCUCCGGUUAAAUGAAUGUUGUAAUGAUUCUGAGAGCCAGUGGUUCGAUUAGACUCAGACAUCGAGAAUCAGCAUAUGAACCUGAACAAUGGUGAAAAUGAACAAAAUAUUCAGAUAAAUCUCUGAACAUCACAAUAAAAGCAACUAAAGUCAUAACAAAAACAGCAAACAUAAAAGCAAAUAGUAAGAAUAAAAGAAAAUGGACAAUUCACCUGUAGUAUUUAUUCAUGCAGCAAUGAGUUUGAAUGAGUUUUGUACUACGAUAGUACCCAGUAUGCAUUGCAGCGUUUUUAUUUUUAAUUUUUUUUUAUGGUCACCAUGUUGAGGUUCUUAUGCUGCUUAUUGAUGUCUGUGUGUGACUGAUUGUCACAUUAGAAGAAAGGUGUGUGUACACAAACUGUUUGGGAAGUCCUUUAUAUUAACUAAUUACACAACACCUGUUUAAUCUGAGAUUAGACUCUGAACAGUUCAAUAAUUGAUGAUUGUCAUCACCAAUAUACAGUAUAAUAACCAACACCUGAUGAUAUUUUCUCUGGGCUUUUGAGUUAUAACAAAUAUGUUUCUGGAACACAUGGUUACAACAGUCAGAGGGGAAAAAAAAACUAAGAAGUCGAGGGUCAAGAGCCCAACUAAAGCAAACACUGAUCUCUAACAUGGUUACUUCAAAUGAAACUAAAUCAACAUGUAAACCUUAGUUGAUUCUCAAUAAGACCUUCUGUAGAUGUCUGACAGAAAUAAAGUCAAGUCUGGUUAUUAAUAAGAGAAGCAGGAGAUGCUGUUUGAGGUGUUGUUUAAUCAGAUCUUGAGAGAUUUAAUGUAUUUUAUUUCAGUUGAUUUCAUCUAAGGCUGUGUCUGAAGUUAGUUGUAGUAGUUCUUGUGUUUCUCUUUUCUUCAGUGAUUCUGUUUGUUAACAGCAGGUGUUCAUCACUAAUGCUCAUUUAGCACUUAAUUAAUAACUUAAUUACUUAAUUGCAAAGUUUUAAAACUUACAUGGUUUAAGCCAAGGGAAUAUUGUUUACUCAAACGGUUUGAGUCACGUGACUUGUCGGGUUUUGUUACGUCUCAUUCUGUUUUGUUUUCAUUCUGUUCCCGGUUCUGCUUUGCCUAAGUCCUAGUUCCUUGUUUGUUUCCAUGGUUGUUAAAUUGUUUCUAAUCCAUUCC